rnacentral:rRNA from 1 species
GAUGAACGCUAGCUACAGGCUUAACACAUGCAAGUCGAGGGGCGAUCACGGUGUAGCAAUACACUGGUGGCGACCGGCGCACGGGUGAGUAACACGUGUCCAACCUUCCCUUUACUCCGGGAUAGCCCAUCGAAAGAUGGAUUAACACCGGAUGGUUUCGCGUGAUUGCAUGAUGACGCGAAUAAAGUUUUACGGUAAAGGAUGGGGAUGCGUUCCAUUAGCUUGUUGGCGGGGUAACGGCCCACCAAGGCACGAUGGAUAGGGGUUCUGAGAGGAAGGUCCCCCACAUUGGAACUGAGACACGGUCCAAACUCCUACGGGAGGCAGCAGUGAGGAAUAUUGGUCAAUGGGCGCGAGCCUGAACCAGCCAAGUAGCGUGAAGGAUGACUGCCCUACGGGUUGUAAAACUUCUUUUAUAAAGGAAUAAAAGUGGCUUACGUGUAGGCCAUUGCAUGUACUUUAUGAA